AUUGGUAGUAAUACUUGUCAAGUGACAGUUAUCUGUUAUGUUAUUUUUUGGAGAAGUCGUCUGUUUAAGGGCGACAAUAUAAAUUAACAUUGGAAACAAUAACUGUCUUCAUGAUUUCUUA
rnacentral:pre_miRNA from 1 species